rnacentral:lncRNA from 1 species
CAGGGCUGAGGAGAUACCUGUUCUCCCAGUUUCACGGCCAGUACAAGGCCAUUCUUACACUGCUCGGGGGAGCCCCUCAGGAGAAGACACAUUUAAGAGUUUCCAGCAAGAAGAGUCAGGUCAUGCAGUCAGCUGCUUUCUCAGCCCAGCUGUGGGAAUGUAAACAAGUUUCUAACCUCAUUGAAUCUUAGGUUCCCUGUUUGGAAACAGAUGAGAUCCACAACAGCCAUUAUCUUAUUGGAUGGUUGUUGUAUGGCAGGGGCUGUACUGAAGAGUCACACACAUUACUUAGUCUUCCCAACAAUCCUGCAAGAUAUAGAACCUUGACAUGUUUCUCAGGCUGGUCUGAAACUCCUGGGGCUCAAGCGAUCCACCUGCCUCCACCUCUCAAAGUGCUGAGAUUACAGAAAAUGAAAGGAAUUGAAAUUAAGACAAGGGAGAGAUUGAAGAGUGGAAAGGAGAAAGUGGUUGAGGAACAGUGAGAGAAGUUGGAGAAGAAAGGAUGAUGCAUCUGAGAGCUCAAUGCAUGUCGGUGAUGAUGAAGGUGAAGAUGCUGUGAGUGAUGAUGAGGAGGAGGAGGAGGAUGUAAUUGAAGGAGCUUGGGCUUUGCCAUCAGUACAGCUGAGUUAAAAUGAGAAAGGGAGCAAAGAAGAAGAAGAAAGGAAAAACUGAAAAAAGAAACAUUGAGGCUCAUGUCUUGUUUUGUUUCUCAAAAGAUUCCAUUAGACUCAAUAUGUCAUUCUAAGUGCACCUGGAUAUAGCGCAGAUUUAGAUAACUGUCUCCUCCCCUUCUGACCUUUAUUACGACUACAAAAAUUCUGUGUGUGAGGGAUAAAUAAUGCAUGCUCUCAGCCAAGAAGGGAAAGAAGACCCAAGGAAAAAUUGCAGAAUAGAAUGGCAAACCAGGAAAACAGAGCUCAGUACAGAAGGGAGUUGGGCAGCCUCUGUUCCUGUUUGGCUCUGUCCUUGAAGAAAGUGAUAAGAAGUGCACAGAUUUUGGAAUUAAACAGACCAUGGUUUGAAGUCUGGAUCUUCCAGUUGUAACCAGGUGGCAUUGGGGCCUAUGGUUCAUCCUGCAAUAUCAGAGAAUACACAACUGUUGGAAGCUCAUUUGUGCAGAAGCACUAGUUAGACCAAGUCCCAGGAUGGUGGGGACUUGAACUGCCUCAUGCACAUUGUACCCAAGAGCCUGGCCCAUGAAGGUGAAUCAGUGGAUACUUGAAUAAAAAGAAGAAUAUGCGCUGAAGUUUUCUUUGAGGACAUUUUUUUUUCUUUCCAUAGUUUUGAGCAUCUCUGAUGUUUUGAGAUUUCU